GCACCACAAGAACGCGUGGAGCAUGUGGCUUAAUUUGACUCAACGCGGGAAAUCUUACCGGGUCCGGACGCACUGAGGAUUGACAGGCAAUAUCUCAUGGUUAUUAACCCGGUUAUUACAUUUUGUUUAAUCGGUUAUUAAGCAUCGAGUGUUAAAUAUGCUAGUCCUUUCAUGAUUAUGUGAUAGGUGGUGCAUGGCCGUUCUUAGUUCGUGGAGUGAUCUGUCUGCUUAAUUGCGUUUCACUAAGGGCCCAUAAAUUCAAGGUAUGUUAGCUAUCGUCGCUCUAUGGACCCCUUAUACUCGAUUUCGCUUUAAUUAGCGUUAUUUGUUUAAUAAGCGCGCGUCUUUAUUUAAUGAGUUUAAGACACUGCGCAUGCUGUUGGGCUCUGAAAGCAACGAACGUGACCGCAACGUCUUGUUGCCUUAAUAAAGUUGGCUUUAAAUACAAUUCCCCGAAUUCGUAUUUAAACCGCUUACAGAGGCUAUUUAAAACUAGACGGACCGCUGUUUCUUUUCUUAAACCAGAGGAAGGUUGCGGCAAUAACAGGUCUGUGAUGC
rnacentral:rRNA from 1 species